rnacentral:misc_RNA from 1 species
GCAGAGUUCUUAUAUAUUUUUGCUCCUUUUGAUGAGAUAAGUAUGAACCAGAUGUGCAUGAUGAUGUAAGAGGGGAGCCGCAUAAUUGGGUUGAUGGAGUAGUUAGAUCUGAGGGCAGAGGUGCAGUUGUCAGUUGUGAUACUAGCUCUAGCUGCAUGAUCAUUAGACCACAACAACAAAAGAAAGACCCUUCUCUUUUGACUAGGGAAGAGAUUGAGACACCUAAAAUUUGGGCUCAAAUUUGUAUCCAAAGAAUGAUUGAACUGGCAAAAGAGAGUACAACAAUGCGCCAAGUAUUAGAUCGAAUGUUUGUUUAUUUCGAUUCUGGGCGGCACUGGGUUCCUUUGCAAGGGUUGUCCAUAACAGUUUUGUCUGAUGUGUGCUACUUAUUGGAGAGUUCAGGUAUAAUGGUGGAAUUUUUAAUUAGGCAGCAUUUGCUACGCUGGCAAAUGAGAUUGGACAAUAAUUUUCUUUUUGGGUCCUGUCUUGUAUUGUUUUGUCUUGUCUAGUUUCAUUUUCAAUUUUUGUGGACCAAAUGCAGCCUUGUUGAUUGGUUUGUUCACCAUGUCUUGCUUAUGUGCAUUUCAUGCCUUGCCUUAGUCUGAAAAUAUUUCUCAAUGGUGCACAAUUGUACGUGUGUGCUUGCUAAUGCCUGUUUCAUUUCAGGACAUCAGCAGUUGGUAUUAGCUGCCGUUAUUCGUCAUCUGGACCACAAAAAUGUUGUGCAUGAUCUACAACUCAAGUCUAAUAUCAUACAAGUUGCUGCAGUUUUAGCUAGGCAAAUUAGAUCAGAAGUAGUGCUGGCUGAAAUUGGAUUUGUCAGUGACCUAUGCAGGCAUUUGCGAAAAAGUCUCCAGGCUACAGUUGAAUCUGUAGCAGAGCAAGAGUCAAAUUUGAAUGUCUUGCUUCAGAAUUCCAUUGAAGAUUUCUUACUGGAAAUUGCUAAAGGGAUUAGGGAUGCACGGCCACUUUUUGACAUGAUGGCCAUAACAUUGGAGAAUCUGCCAUCUUCUGGAGUUGUUGCCCAUUCAACCAUGGGAUCCUUGAUAGUUCUUGCUCAUAUGAUCUCAUUAUUGUCAGUAUCUUCUAGUUCACAGCAGGGUUUUCCAGAGGCACUUCUUGUCCAACUUUUGAAAGCAAUGCUGCAUCCAGAUGUUGGGGUGCGUGUUGGAGCACACCAGAUAUUUUCAAUGCUUCUCAUUCCAAGCUCUAAUCAUUCACGCCAUGGAGUUGUGUCUUUGCAUUCCGGUUAUAUUUGUGAACCAAGAAGAUGGCGUUCCAAUACUGCGUCUACAUUUUCGUCUAUUGCAGCUUUACUUGAAAAGCUUCGAAGAGAGAAGGAUGGUGCCAGAAUGGAAAAACAUAAAAGUAACAGUCUUGAUGAUUGCAGAGAAAGGGAAGUUAUAGAAGAAGAUUGGAAACAGGGUCAGCCUCAAAAAAAUUGCCCCAACUUUUACAAAAUAAGUUCUGUUAUUGACAGGACCUCUGGGACAACAAGCUUGGCUGAGGCGGAGCCAUGCAUUAUGAAACUCAGUGAGGAUCAAAUAGCACAAUUGCUGUCUGCCUUUUGGAUACAAGCCAAUCUUCCAGAUAAUUUGCCCUCAAAUAUUGAAGCUAUAGCUCAUUCUUUUAUGUUGACACUUAUUUCUUUACGAUUGAAGGUCGGAUUUUCAUAUAUAUAGAUGUUUUCCCCUCUUCCCCUUUCCCCAAUUACUUUUAUAUGGCCUCAAAUUGAGUAAAUGUGUAAUUUUACAUUGAAUGAAAGCAACCUUUGAUGUUUAGUGAAAGGAUUGAUCUCUCUAGUUUGUUUUGAAUGUUACUUGUUAACUGUCUUUAACAUAUGGGAAACAAUUUAAUGCUGGUGGGGUGCCUGAUCAAUCUCCAACUGUUUGCAUGCUUGUGCAUCUUUAUUUAUAACUGACGCCAGUUAUCAUUUCUCAAACUUAUGAUGUUGCAGAGCCCAAGUGAUGGCCUUGUGGUCCGCAUCUUUCAGCUAUCCCUAUCUCUCAGAAAUUUAUCCGUGGAACCUAACAAUGGUAUAGGUGAUUUAUUGAUACAACAUUCAAUUUUAUUUUGAGCAUAUGUACAAUUGACUUUUUUACCAUCCUUUGCAGGGACAUUACGCCCUGCAUGCCAGAGAUCAAUUUUUGUAUUAUCAACAGGCAUGUUGAUGUUUGCUGCUAAAAUAUAUCAAAUUCCUGAGUUGAAUGAUUUAGUCAAGUCAUUACUCCCAUAUGAUGUAUGUAUUUUCUGUUCUUGCUUAUUGUAAAGUUUAUCAAGUGAUGAAAGGAUAGGGUUGCUGCAUUUGUAGUAUAGAGCUCUCUUCUCUGUCAGUGAAAUGCAUGCCAUGGUCUACUUUUCACUUAAGUGGCCAUUCAUGGCCUGUAAGUAAAUAAAUAAAAGGAAGCUAGCAGAAAGAUUAAUUUUAUUGACAACACUACCGUUUUAUUAAAAAAUAUAUGUAUUAUAUUUAGUAUAUCUUCUCCUAUUUCAGGUUGAUCCUUAUCUCGGCAUUAGUGAUGACCUUCAAGUACAUGGAAAGCCUCAGGCAGAUGUGAGGGAAUAUGGAUCUGUUGCUGAUAAUCAACUAGCCUCAUCUUUACUCCUUGAGUUGAGGAGCAAAAUAUUUGAAUCUGAUAAGGUCAUAAUCGACACCUUAAUUCAGAGCCUAUCUAAUGCUACCAAGCUGGAGGUUGAUGACUUGGCAAGACAAUUGUCAGAACCAUUCACGCCUGAUGAUGCAUUUGUCUUCGGUCCUCAAUCAUUACUUGAUAUGGACCACAAGCAAAUGGUUUCCCAUUCUAAGGAAUCACUCUCCUUUGAUGAGGAUAUGCCAACAAGCUCGUUGAUUGAGGAUGACGCAUUUAGCGAAGCAUCAGUUGCAGACAUGUCUCGCUUCAUUCCCAAAAUGCCCUCAUCUCCUUCUGUUUCCCACAUUAUUGGCAUUGGGAAGCUUUUGGAAUCGGCACUCGAGGUAGCUGGUCAAGUGGCAGGAACAUCCAUCUCUACAUCACCUCUCCCAUACGACACCAUGGCAAAACAGUGUGAAGAUCUUGGCAAAGGCACAAGGAAGAAGCUUUCCAAUUGGUUAGCCCAUGAAACUCAUUAUGCUAGAGGAGCUGGCAAAUUUUUACCAGAAUUUCCUGCUAGUGGAUGCCCUGCGCUAGAGAAGAUUAUGCAAGGCGCUGUGAAGCCAAUGGACCCAUGCUUGGCUAUGAGGUUGCCUCCUGCUAGUCCUUUCGAUAACUUUCUUAAAGCAGCUGGAUGUUAGAAGA